rnacentral:misc_RNA from 1 species
GAUGAAGAACGCAGCGAAAUGCGAUAAGUAAUGUGAAUUGCAGAAUUCAGUGAAUCAUCGAAUCUUUGAACGCACAUUGCGCCCCCCAGUAUUCUGGCGGGCAUACCUGUUCGAGCGUCAUUUCAACCAUCAAGCCCUGCUUGUGUUGGGGUCCUGCGGCUGCCCGCAGGCCCUGAAAACCAGUGGCGGGCUCGCUAGUCACACCGAGCGCAGUAGCACAUCUCGCUCAGGGCGUGCGGCGGGCUCCAGCCGUUAAAGCACCCACCUUUCGCAAGGUUGACCUCGGAUCAGGUAGGAAUACCCGCUGAACUUAAGCAUAUCAAUAAGCGGAGGA